rnacentral:tRNA from 1 species
AUUUAAAUAGCUUAAAAUUAAAGCAUAGUAUUGAAGUCACUAGUAUGGUUUUACCUUUAGAUA